ACGAACGCUGGCGGCGUGCUUAACACAUGCAAGUCGAACAGAUAGGCCCUGCUUGCAGGGUACUCGAGUGGCGAACGGGUGAGUAACACGUGGGUGAUCUGCCCUGCACUUCGGGAUAAGCCUGGGAAACUGGGUCUAAUACCGGAUAGGAGCCAUUUUUAGUGUGAUGGUUGGAAAGUUUUUUCGGUGUAGGAUGAGCUCGCGGCCUAUCAGCUUGUUGGUGGGGUAAUGGCCUACCAAGGCGGCGACGGGUAGCCGGCCUGAGAGGGUGGACGGCCACAUUGGGACUGAGAUACGGCCCAGACUCCUACGGGAGGCAGCAGUGGGGAAUAUUGCACAAUGGGCGCAAGCCUGAUGCAGCGACGCCGCGUGGGGGAUGACGGCCUUCGGGUUGUAAACUCCUUUCGCUAGGGACGAAGCUUUUUGUGACGGUACCUAGAUAAGAAGCACCGGCUAACUACGUG
rnacentral:rRNA from 1 species